CAGAUGAAGAAUAAAGACACAGAAAGACUAAGCAACUGGCCCUAGUAGUGCCUAGAGGUGUCAAGUGAGACUGGGCCCCAAGUACGCUAGGCAUUGUACAAAGGGAAUUGCACACAACACCGCCGUAUAAACCAAACCAACUAAUUUGACUCCUUGAGGCUAGAGCUCCAACAGAUUCCACUUCAAAUGUAUGCCUCAUUGACUUUUUACUGUUUUAGAUAUUGAUCUUAUUGAAUGCCAUCAGUUCAGACACUGCAACCUCAUUUGCAACCAGGACCAGGACUGUAGGUGAUCAGCUUUUUAAAAUGCUGGAGAAAUGGAGGUGAAAAAAUGAUUUACAUUGCUCUUCCUGGAUUUUUAUUACAGAAACAGAUGUUGGAGUUUUACUGGCUGAAAUAAUCAGCCCCAGAGCUGGUGGGUCAUCAGCCCUGCUUUCUCCACAAAGUGCCACAACUGUAAAACAAAAUGUACAUUCCAGAAAUUACAAGUUUGUCAGAUGUGCCAAAAACAGCAUCUAGAGAAUAAGGAAGAAGAAAGCAGAAAAUAGCAUGAUAGCUUUGCAUGAUGUUGCUUAAAUUAUUAUUUAGAGUAGAUUUUGUAAAUCAGUGGUUUCUUGACCUAAGAUGCUAGAGGCUGUUUUGCCUUUUGGGGGAGUGGGUGUUUGUUACCCAAUAUAAUACCCAAACGGGCAAGUACAUAAUAUAUAGUACUAAGUACCUUCAAAGCUCUUUACAAACGUUAAUCAGUCCUCACUCAGUGGUAUUUAAGUAUCUCCAGGUUACAUACAAGAAACGUGAGGCAUGGACGUUUGGGAGAGU